rnacentral:pre_miRNA from 1 species
GUAGUAUUCCCUCCGUCCCAAAAUUCUUGUCUUAUAUUUGUUUAGAUACGGAUGUAUCUAACACUAAAAUAUAACUAGAUACAUCCGUAUUUAGAAAAAUUUAAGACAAGAAUUUUGGGACGGAGGGAGUACAAA